GACGAACGCUGGCGGCGUGCUUAGCACAUGCAAGUCGAACGGAAAGGCCCUGCUUUUGUUGGGUGCUCGAGUGGCGAACGGGUGAGUAACACGUGAGUAACCUGCCCUUGACUUUGGGAUAACUUCAGGAAACUGGGGCUAAUACCGGAUAUGAGCUCCUGCUGCAUGGUGGGGGUUGGAAAGUUUCGGCGGUUGGGGAUGGACUCGCGGCUUAUCAGCUUGUUGGUGGGGUAGUGGCUUACCAAGGGUUUGACGGGUAGCCGGCCUGAGAGGGUGACCGGCCACAUUGGGACUGAGAUACGGCCCAGACUCCUACGGGAGGCAGCAGUGGGGAAUAUUGCACAAUGGGCGGAAGCCUGAUGCAGCAACGCCGCGUGCGGGAUGACGGCCUUCGGGUUGUAAACCGCUUUCGCCUGUGACGAAGCGUGAGUGACGGUAAUGGGUAAAGAAGCACCGGCUAACUACGUG
rnacentral:rRNA from 1 species